rnacentral:tRNA from 1 species
GCGAUUCCUGUUGAUGGAAGAUAGGCUUUUUUUUGAUCCGAGGAGCCUAUGCCAGUUCGAGUCUGGCGAGUCGCU